rnacentral:rRNA from 1 species
AUUGAACGCUGGCGGCAGGCCUAACACAUGCAAGUCGAGCGGAUGAAGGGAGCUUGCUCCUGGAUUCAGCGGCGGACGGGUGAGUAAUGCCUAGGAAUCUGCCUGGUAGUGGGGGAUAACGUCCGGAAACGGGCGCUAAUACCGCAUACGUCCUGCGGGAGAAAGUGGGGGAUCUUCGGACCUCACGCUAUCAGAUGAGCCUAGGUCGGAUUAGCUAGUUGGUGGGGUAAAGGCCUACCAAGGCGACGAUCCGUAACUGGUCUGAGAGGAUGAUCAGUCACACUGGAACUGAGACACGGUCCAGACUCCUACGGGAGGCAGCAGUGGGGAAUAUUGGACAAUGGGCGAAAGCCUGAUCCAGCCAUGACGCGUGUGUGAAGAAGGUCUUCGGAUUGUAAAGCACUUUAAGUUGGGAGGAAGGGCAGUAAGUUAAUACCUUGCUGUUUUGACGUUACCAACAGAAUAAGCACCGGCUAACUUCGUG